UAAAAACAUAGUUCUGUAACAGGUUGGAUCCGGCGCCUCUUGAAGGCUACUAUAGGCUCUCCUCCCCAACUCCUACUCAAUACGUCCGCGUCGUACAGAACGGUAACAUGUCGCCUAAAUAUCCAAGCUUGGGUACACGGGGAAACCCACCCCCUUGGGCGGAUGGGCGGCAAGGCUGAAUUGAGAGGG
rnacentral:ribozyme from 1 species